rnacentral:sRNA from 12 species
UAUCAGUACAGGUAGAGAUGCACUGUAUACUCGUGUUACCGGACUAUUGUCUAAGCGACUUGUAAAGUCGUCGGCCACGGGGCCGCCACGUGGCGGUUUUUUUUUAA